GUCUAAUUUGAGGGUAAAACCUA
rnacentral:siRNA from 1 species